AAAACGGGCACCAAGGGGAAGAGCACAGAAGCUUUCUGAAUUUCUCCAUGUAAAUGACUCUCUACGUUAUUUUCUAGAUCUCCUUUGAACUGCUGGUUCAAGAUCAGAACAAGGUUUACUGUAAUACAGCAAUGUGUAGAGUUAUGUCUGGAGAGAUGUCUGCAGCACAGCGCUGGAGAGGGCCCUCCCCCACCCCCGCCGAGCUCCUGAGUGCCUAUGAAGGCGAGAUGCUGAGAAAUUUGGAAAAUAGAGGAGCUCAACUGUGGGGAGUGGAGAGCGGUGUGGAGCAGGGUCAGCUGUGGCAAGAUGCAGCUGGCAAAGAGUCAUGGAGCAUGAUCAAGCAGUCCAUUCAAACCUGUACAUGUGCCCCAAGAACUUCAGGGGUAUAGCCUUAGUGAUUUUUUUUUCCACAUGAUUAAGGUUGUAUUGGGUUCUUAAACCUCUGUAUAAUCCAAUAAAGAAAAAAAAUUAAAACUUCUGUUAAAUUCUCUGUAUUAGAAGAAACCCUGCAACCUAGCCAUUUGUCUCUUUGUAGUGAUUGAUGCUUAUGUUUUGUAAGUGUUCCAUAAAAGCCAUUAUUCAUCAGCACAGGGAUUCAGCACAGUCAAAUGAGAAACUCACCGUUUGGAACUGUAUUUCUGAAAAAUCUUGCAUGUCCAUUUCUUCCCUUGGCCAGU